CUUGGAGGAUCUAAGAGUAAUUCUAAGCCGAAAGGUAAAUUGGGUUUAAUUAUUGGAAUCACAGGUCCAAAUUUUAUAAUAAUAUUGGCUGUAUUGGGAUUCAUCCUUAUAUUGAAACACAAGAGAAGAAAAACUGCUCCAAAUAGCUCAGGAGGAGCAAACAUGCCACAAACAUCAACGAUAGACCCUGAAAUAAUAGGUGGAGUGGGUGAUUCGAUUGUGAACGAAAUCAAGGUAAACAUGGAGUAUGAUCAAGGAGAAGGAGAAGGAGAGGGAGAA